GGCGAGAUGGCCGAGUGGUCUAAGGCGUUGGUCUCAAGACUUUCUUCUGCUCCAAGAGUAGUUAUCCAAUGGUGUAAACCGCAGGGGUUCGAAUCCCCUUCUCGUCA